AAGAGAAGUUAUGAAA
rnacentral:sRNA from 1 species